GCGCCCGUAGCUCAGGUGGAUAGAGCAAUGGUUUCCUAAACCAUGUGCCAGGGGUUCGAAUCCUCUCGGGCGUACCA
rnacentral:tRNA from 1 species